rnacentral:rRNA from 1 species
CUUUUUCCCCCUCUUCUCCUUGAACAUGCCCAAUUUCAUCUAAUCUAGGAAACUAAGCAGAGUAAGCCGGGCUCAGUUGGGAGACAGU